GACACUAAAUAACUAUAAAAUGGAAGCUAGUAAGUGUUUUGCAAAUAGUGAGAUACAUCUAAUCUCAGUUUCAUCCAUUGUCUUGUAUACGAUACGCGAUUCCCAAGAAGGCUUUCGAAAAGACAACGUGCUACAGCAGCGAUACUGGCAAUCAGCCACUAUCUUUUGCCAUUGAAUUUGGCCGGACCGAAAAUAAGUGGUCGGUAUCGAGAUAGGAACAGUGACACAGGUUCGAUCUUCUCUUUCGGGUCUUAAAGACCGGUUUAUUCUCCGGCGAGCACCGGAACAUUUCGCGGGAUCGUUAUUUUAACAACAGUAAUUCGCCGUGUAACAUGUAAAAGGUACAUAGUGAGGCAUAAAACAGAGAAUAUAAGGAGAUAGUGUUUGUGUAUGUCACGAACAAUGUUUACACAUAUCGUUCUACUAAUGAACAAUAUUUCUGCACAUACACUUAAAAGAAACGCAAACAAAUAUUUUCUAAAACCGAUAAAAUGAUGCAUCCUCGUAAUAACCUCAAUCCACAUACUUCAAAAUCAUUUAAUGAAAUCUACCAUAAAAGAGUACUAGUCAAACGAAGCAUGGAACACGAUAGAGUUAAGAAAUUUCUGUAGAAAAAUUACGAGUAGCAAGAGAAAUAUUACUGCGUUUGAGCAAAAGGAGAAGAUUCCCAAUCAAUUUUCCCGCGUCCAGCAAAUCUCGUACCAAAACAAUGCGGACACGCUCUUUCCUGAUUUCCGGCUUUGCUCUAAAUCGAAACGCUCUGAUCAUGAUAAAAAUACACUUUGCGAGUGUGACACACUUAGACGCGGGGAAAAAUCGAUGUCGACCUAUGUUGAGUGUCAAUGAUUAACGACUCGCUUAGCAGAAAUUGCUAGCAGCAAAGUAAAACGAGACGCUUGUCGAUAUUCUGAUUAAUUAGCUCUUGCCUCCUGCCGGAACAAUCGGAUCGUAAUUCGAUAGCUCGCUGUUUCGCAACAUACAUUUCUGAAUUUUGAUCGACGUUCUUAUACAGGACAUCGUUGUAUGUAUUAUAAUUUCCACUCUCUCGUUAAUUGAUUGGUAUCAAUUACCGGAGGUCAGGGUACGCGAGUAUCUCAACGAAUGACAUGAAAAAACUACACUAGUUGCUAACAGUCUUUAAAAUGCUUCCUUUAAAAUAGCUUUCAGAAAAAAAAACGAGAAUAACACGUACGCUAUGAAAAAGUAGUACUCUGACAGUGCAACUGUUUGCGGAAUGCAACUUUAAAUAACAAGAAAGUAUUACUGGUAAUUUGUGGAGGCUUGACGUAGGGAUUUGAUUAACUUUAGAUCUGUUGUUCAGAUUUGUGACGGAUACUUUAUGAUAUACUUAAUAUUACGGUAAUUUGAAAUAGUCAGUAAUGGUACUUGGAUAUUUGUAAAGAUGGAAUGAGCCUGGAAUUAGUAUGCAUAUAUGUACACAUAUGUAUUAGGUACAUAUGUAUUACGCUGCGAUAACUAAUCGUGAGUCGGGAUAUUAUGCGAUCAGUUAUCAGGGAAGGCAUAAUUCUAGCAAAUCUCAAGAUGUGAGACGCGUAGAUACUCGAUACAUUUAUUUAUUUUACACGCAGAACAUUAAAAGGCAUCGCAUCAUAAGAUCAGGAUUAAGAACUGAUAGAGAUAGCAAAAUAACCACUUAACGAAGCAAACUUUUAAUCAGUUGAUGUGGCACUACCGUAAUUAGAUUUGAUUGAAUGAGGUUCCUUGUAUCGAUCUAGCUUUAUUUAUGACACUGACCACUUUAAAAAUUGUAACGAUGAAUCCGAAUCUAGGAAAGCCUCAUUUUUGCACGAAAGAGAUUCUGAAUCUGUUUUUCAUUAAAAUCUUUUGCAUCUGUUAAAGAAAAACGCUUAGCUGGGAUAUGAGAUAGUGACCUAAAUUCAAUAAA